rnacentral:tRNA from 1 species
AAUAAAUUAGUUUAUAAAAAUAUUAGUUUGUCAAACUAAAGAUGAAAAAAUUCCUCA